GUUUGCGAACAACUUGCUUGUACAAUCCAAACUAAAGGAAUCUUAGCACAAACAGUGAUGAAUGGAGUAAAAGCUUUGCAAGGUGCCUUGCAACGACAGAGAGAUGACUACACCUGCUUUUUCCGCCAGACAAGUGAUUUGGCCUCUGCCAUGCCCAUAAUGGAAAAGCCGGUUCUUCCACGUCCAAAAAAGGUGCCUCGACGUCUAGACAAUGACGGUUUCGCUGCCCAUCACCAAUUUAACUCUGUUGAAGAUAUGCACCGUGCUGAUUAUUUUGAGGGCAUUGACGCUUGUCUUUCCGAGCUUUAUCGUCGUUUCGACGAAGAGUCGUACCCACCACUUCAGCAUUUUGAGAGUAUAAUCUUAAAUGCAGCAAAUGGUCUUAGUUUCGAAAUAAGCGAAACCUUUCGGAAAGCGUAUGAGAACGAUGUGAACUUUGGUGUUUUGCAAUCAGAACUGAAACUUCUUGAAAUCGUUACCAAACAAGCCUUUCCUGAAAUUAAACGUGUGACAUCGAUGGAAACUGUAUUGUCUGUUUUAACCAAAGGGCAAAAUAGCACUCACUUACUUCCUAAUGUUCUUCGCUUGAUGCACGCAUAUUUACUAGCUCCAUUAACUACUGCGUCUGCUGAAAGAUUUUCCGUGCAAAGGUUAAUAAAAAGUUAUCUGAGAAGCACCAUAACGGAAAAGCGCUACAAUAAUCUUU